GCCACUUUACUCAGGUAUUGUUUUCUUCUUGGCAAAUACCUUAGUACCUUACCAAUUUUAUUUAUUGGUGAAUGGUGAAUAAUGUAAAUUACUGUUACAUUUGACAUCAAAUAUCUUACAAAGAUAUUCACAUGAAUUCAUUGCUUUAUGCUUUGUAUUUUAUAAUAAUUACUAUUUUUUUAAUUUCUAAUUUGUUGGCAGCUUGACUACAAAACUGUUUCUAUAUAUGCUAAGAGUGACUUUAUUUU
rnacentral:misc_RNA from 1 species